rnacentral:rRNA from 1 species
AAAUCUGGCCCCUAGGGUCCGAGUUGUAAUUUGUAGAGGAUGCUUUUGGUGAGGUGCCGCCCGAGUUCCCUGGAACGGGACGCCACAGAGGGUGAGAGCCCCGUCUGGCUGGCCACCGAGCCUCUGUAAAGCUCCUUCGACGAGUCGAGUAGUUUGGGAAUGCUGCUCAAAAUGGGAGGUAUAUGUCUUCUAAAGCUAAAUAUUGGCCAGAGACCGAUAGCGCACAAGUAGAGUGAUCGAAAGAUGAAAAGCACCUUGAAAAGAGGGUUAAAUAGUACGUGAAAUUGUUGAAAGGGAAGCGCUUGUGACCAGACUUGGGCGCGGCGGAUCAUCCGGGGUUCUCUCCGGUGCACUUCGCCGCGUCUAGGCCAGCAUCAGUUCGUCGCGGGGGAAAAAGGCUUCGGGAACGUGGCUCCUCCGGGAGUGUUAUAGCCCGUUGCAUAAUACCCUGCUUUGGACUGAGGACCGCGCAUCUGCAAGGAUGCUGGCGUAAUGGUCACCAGCGACCCGUCUUGAAACACGGACCAAGGAG